CAGCCGCCACGGGAAUACGAAGGGUGCAAGCGUUACUCGGAAUUACUGGGCGUAAAGCGUGCGUAGGUGGUGGUUUAAGUCCGUUGUGAAAGCCCUGGGCUCAACCUGGGAAUUGCAGUGGAUACUGGGUCACUAGAGUGUGGUAGAGGAUAGUGGAAUUUCCGGUGUAGCAGUGAAAUGUGUAGAGAUCGGAAGGAACAUCUGUGGCGAAGGCGACUAUCUGGGCCAACACUGACACUGAGGCACGAAAGCGUGGGGAGCAAACAGGAUUAGAUACCCCAGUAGUCCCUGUCUCUUAUAC
rnacentral:rRNA from 1 species